rnacentral:siRNA from 1 species
UCAAGUGUCUCAAAUGCUCAGCU